GGGCGAAUAGCUCAGUUGGUUAGAGCACCUGCCUUACACGCAGGGGGCCACAGGUUCGAGUCCUGUUUCGCCCACCA
rnacentral:tRNA from 1 species